GUUUGCUUUGGCAGAACAUAUACAAAAAUUGGAACGAUACAGAGACGAUUAGCAUGGCCCCUGCACAAGGAUAACACUCAAAUUCGUGGAGCCUUUUAUAAUUUU